rnacentral:rRNA from 1 species
CGCCUCUUGCCACUUAUAAGAGGUCCAGCCUGCCCAGUGACUCUGUUCAACGGCCGCGGUAUCCUAACCGUGCGAAGGUAGCGUAAUCACUUGUCCUUUAAAUGAGGACUAGUAUGAAUGGCCCCACGAGGGCUACACUGUCUCCUUUUUCUAAUCAAUGAAACUAAUCUUCUCGUGAAGAAGCGAGAAUGAUUUUAUAAGACGAGAAGACCCUAUGGAGCUUUAAAUAACUGAAAAAUUUGCAUACCCAAUUUUUAUCUUCCGAGCUACCACUCUUUGAGCAUUUUUAUUUCUAAUUUUAGGUUGGGGUGACCACGGAGCAAAAUUUAACCUCCACGACGAAGGAGACUCCUUCUCUUAGCUAAAAGCUACUCCUUUAAGCAUCAACAAACUGACUUCUUUUGACCCAAUAAAUUGAUCAACGAACCAAGUUACCCUAGGGAUAACAGCGCAAUCUACUUCAAGAGCUCAUAUCGACAAGUAGGUUUACGACCUCGAUGUUGGAUCAGGGUACCCCAGUGGUGCAGCCGCUACUAACGGUUCGUUUGUUCAACGAUUAAAACCC